rnacentral:pre_miRNA from 1 species
GAUAUCAACUGAAAAAGUCAUCAACAACAAAGUUGAAUAACUCAUCAAGAUCUAAAACUUUUAUUUUGGUCAUUUCUUCAUACGACAAAGUGAUAGUAACAUUGUUCACAAAAUUGACAUAUCUCUUAUCUGGUUUUAUAAACUAUAACACAUAUAUGUAAGAUUUGUGAAUAAUAUUACUAACAUUUCGUCAGAUGAAGAAAUAACAAAAAUAAAAGUUUUAGAUCUUGAUGAGUUAUUCAACUUUGUUGUUGAUGACUUUUUCAAUUGAAAUC